rnacentral:tRNA from 1 species
GCCACGGUGGUCUAGCGGUUAGAACGCUGGCCUUGUAAUCCUGGGGGGCUCGGGUUCGAUUCCCGGCGGUGCCC